AGUGAACGCUGGCGGUAGGCCUAACACAUGCAAGUCGAACGGCAGCACAGUAAGAGCUUGCUCUUACGGGUGGCGAGUGGCGGACGGGUGAGGAAUACAUCGGAAUCUACUUUUUCGUGGGGGAUAACGUAGGGAAACUUACGCUACUACCGCAUACGACCUACGGGUGAAAGCAGGGGAUCUUCGGACCUUGCGCGAUUGAAUGAGCCGAUGUCGGAUUAGCUAGUUGGCGGGGUAAAGGCCCGCCAAGGCGACGAUCCGUAGCUGGUCUGAGAGGAUUAUCAGCCACACUGGAACUGAGACACGGUCCAGACUCCUACGGGAGGCAGCAGUGGGGAAUAUUGGACAAUGGGCGCAAGCCUGAUCCAGCCAUACCGCGUGGGUGAAGAAGGCCUUCGGGUUGUAAAGCCCUUUUGUUGGGAAAGAAAAGCAGCAGGUUAAUACCCCGCUGUUCUGACGGUACCCAAAGAAUAAGCACCGGCUAACUUCGUG
rnacentral:rRNA from 1 species